AGCGAACGCUGGCGGUAGGCCUAACACAUGCAAGUCGAACGGCAGCACAGUAAGAGCUUGCUCUUACGGGUGGCGAGUGGCGGACGGGUGAGGAAUACAUCGGAAUCUACUUUUUCGUGGGGGAUAACGUAGGGAAACUUACGCUAAUACCGCAUACGACCUACGGGUGAAAGCAGUGGAUCUUCGGACCUUGCGCGGUUGAAUGAGCCGAUGUCGGAUUAGCUAGUUGGCGGGGUAAAUGCCCACCAAGGCGAGGAUCCGUAGCUGGUCUGAGUGGAGGGUAGCCCGCACUGGAGCGGGGACAGGGUCCAGGCUCCUACGGGACGGCGCAGUGGGCAAUAGUGGACAGAGGGCGGAAGCCUUAUCCAACGAUACCGAGUCGGAUAAAGAGGCCUUCGGGUUGGAAAGCCGUUUUGUUGGGAAAAAAACGCAGCAGGUUGAUACGCAGCUGUUGUGACGGUAACCGAAGAAUAAGCACCGGCUAACUACGUG
rnacentral:rRNA from 1 species